rnacentral:rRNA from 1 species
GCUCAGCCGUAAACAAAAACAGUAAAAAUACAGUACUGUUCGCCAGAGAACUACAAGCUAAAACUCAAAACUCCAAGGACUUGGCGGUGCUCCACACCGACCUAGAGGAGCCUGUCCUAUAAUCGAUACCCCCCGAUCCACCUCACCAUUUUUUGAAAUUCAGCCUAUAUACCGCCGUCGCCAGCCUACCUUGUGAAAGGAGCAAAGUAAGCAAAAUAGUCAUCAACUAAAACGUCAGGUCAAGGUGUAGCAUAUAAAAUGGAAGAGAUGGGCUACACUCUCUCCCCCAGAGAACACGAACAGCAUCAAUGAAACACUGCUUGAAGGUGGAUUUAGUAGUAAGAUAGACAAGAGAGCUUAUCUUAAACCAGCCCUGGAGCGCGC